UUUUAAAUUUCAAAUUUCCUUUUUUCACUGCUGGUAUAUAGGAAAGUGCUUGACUUCUGUAUAUUAACCUCAUAUCCUACAAAGUUGCUAUAAUCAUUUAUUAGUUCCCAGAGGUUUUUGGGGGGUCAGCUUUUACAGAUUUUCUAUAUAGACAAUUAUAUCAUCUGUGAACACUGACAGUUUUAUUUCCUCCUCAAUCUGUAUACCUUUUAUUUCCUUUUCCUGUGUUAUUACAUUUGCUAGCACUUCUAGUAUGAUGUUGAAAAGCAGUAGGGAGUGGGGACAUCCUUGCCUUAUUCAUGAUCUUAGUGGAAAAGCUUCUAGUUUCUCACUGUUAAGUGUGAUGUUAGCUGUAGGUUUUUGUAGAUAUUUAUCAUGUUGAGGAAUUUCCCCUCUAUUUCUAGUUUAAUGAAAUAUUUAGAGUGGGUGUUGACCUUUGUCAGAUGACUCUUAACGCAUCUACUGAUAUGAUCAUGUGCUUUUUCCUUUUUAGCCUGUGGAUGUGGUAGACUACAUUAAUGGGUUCUCAAAUGUUUAAUCAAACUUGCAUACUUGGGAUAAAUCUCACUUGGUUUUUGAGGCUGAUGUGUUCUUGUACCCCCCAAUUUCAUAUGUUGAAAUCCUAUCCCCCAAGAUGAUGGUAUUAGGAGGGAGGGCCUUUAGGGGAUGAUUAGGUGGUGCCCUCAUGAUUGGGAUUAGUGCCCUUAUAAAAAAGAACUCAGAGAAUUAGCUAGUCCUUUUCACCAUGUGAGGACACAGUAAGAAGGUGCAACCUAUGAAUCAGAAGUCAGGACCUUAUACACGGUAUCUGCCUGUGCCUUGGUCUUGCACUUCCCAGCCUCUAGAACUGUGCAAAAUAACAUUUCUGUUGCUUUUAAACUACCUAGUCUCUAGUAUUUUUUUUUUUUUUUUUUACAGCAAGCUGAACAGGCUAACUGUGGUGUGUAGUUUUUUUUUUUUUUUUUGUCUUUUUGCCUUUUCUAGGGCUGCUCCUGCGUUGUAUGGAGGUUCCCAGGAGCAGCCCAAGAAAAUGGCAAAAAGACAAAAAAAAAAAAAAAAAAAAAAAAAAAAACCAAAAAACCAUUAAAACUUUGCCGUAAUAUUGUAAAGUUAAUGGAAAAUAUUAUUUAAUCACAAAAAGCACAAAAGUAAUGUUAGUGAAAUUUAAAAAUAUAUGCAACUGACCCUAUAUUUAUCUGAGAAAGUACCAAAUGGUUACAAGGCAGUCACUUUCUAGCUAUUCCCUACCCCUAAAGUUUAGUUUGCCAGGGCUCCUCUUUCCUCAUUAAUUCUUUCCAGCACCACGAGGGGUUGAAUCAGAGCUAAAGAUUUCUGCUUUUUCUUUCUUUCUUUUUUUUUUUUUUCUCUCUCUCUUAACAACUGCUUUCUACUUGAUUUCCUGGCUUCUUGCUGCUUGCAUGUAUAGGUUAAGAAUCAGCAUACUAUCCUGAGGGAAAACAGUAUGUGGAGUGUUUGACUCCUUUUCCUGUGAUUGCCUUUCUUCUGGGAUCUUAGCCCUAGCUGCCCUGAUAGACGACCUCCAAAAUUUGUAUCUCCAGCCCAGUCAGGCUGUUGAACGCUCUAGGAUUUCUCUCUGGUUUCUAUACUCCCAGACAAAUCAGCAAUGCUUUGAGGAGGAAAUGUGGCUGAGAAUGGGGGGAUCACCUCACAGUGUUUCCCUCCUUGCUGGGCCCUAGGGACUCUCAAGCCUUGGCUGCCUGGGUUGCUGUAAAAUAGGCUUAAAGAGCCUUUAUUUUAUUUUAUUAUUUUAUUUUAUUUCACUUUAUUUUUAAUGCAGUUUUAAUAGUUCUUAGUGCGGAGUUCCCGUCGUGGCGCAGCAGAAACGGAUCCGACUAGGAACCAUGAGGUUGCGUGUUCAACCCCUGGCCUCGCUCAGUGGGUUAAGGAUCCAGCGUUGCCAUCCAUGAGCUGUGGCGUAGGUCGAAGACGUGGCUCGGAUCUGUCAUUGCUGUGGCUCUGGUGUAGGCCCAGCAGCUGUAAUUCUGAUUCUACCUCUAGCUUGGGAACCUCCAUAUGCCGGGGGUGCAGCCCUAAGAAGACCAAAAAAAAAAAAAAAAAAANAAAAAA
rnacentral:lncRNA from 1 species